UUAUCCGCGAGGAUUGCUCUGAAGGAAGCCGCUAGCAAAUUUAUGAGCUGAUAAACAAGAACAUCACAUGAGGCGUAGACUAGAGGUGAGUUGGCAGAGCUUCCCCACGCAGUAUGGGAACAAGACGAUGAAACCACGUGAUCAAAUAGCCACCAUAAAUGAUGCCGCAGUGCAGAGAAAGUUCAUGUU
rfam:Shewanella baltica OS195, complete genome.